rnacentral:rRNA from 1 species
GUAGGGAAUCUUCCGCAAUGGACGAAAGUCUGACGGAGCAACGCCGCGUGAGUGAUGAAGGCUUUCGGGUCGUAAAACUCUGUUGUUAGGGAAGAACAAGUGCUAGUUGAAUAAGCUGGCACCUUGACGGUACCUAACCAGAAAGCCACGGCUAACUACGUGCCAGCAGCCGCGGUAAUACGUAGGUGGCAAGCGUUAUCCGGAAUUAUUGGGCGUAAAGCGCGCGCAGGUGGUUUCUUAAGUCUGAUGUGAAAGCCCACGGCUCAACCGUGGAGGGUCAUUGGAAACUGGGAGACUUGAGUGCAGAAGAGGAAAGUGGAAUUCCAUGUGUAGCGGUGAAAUGCGUAGAGAUAUGGAGGAACACCAGUGGCGAAGGCGACUUUCUGGUCUGUAACUGACACUGAGGCGCGAAAGCGUGGGGAGCAAACAGGAUUAGAAACCCUAGUAGUCC